rnacentral:rRNA from 1 species
UACGGAGGGAGCUAGCGUUGUUCGGAAUCACUGGGCGUAAAGGGCGCGUAGGCGGCUUUGUAAGUCGGGGGUGAAAGCCUGUGGCUCAACCACAGAAUUGCCUUCGAUACUGCAUGGCUUGAGACCGGAAGAGGUCAGUGGAACUGCGAGUGUAGAGGUGAAAUUCGUAGAUAUUCGCAAGAACACCAGUGGCGAAGGCGGCUGACUGGUCCGGUUCUGACGCUGAGGCGCGAAAGCGUGGGGAGCAAACAGG